AACACUCUUAGUCAUAUGAUUUAGUUUUAGGUAGUUCUGCAAGGAGCAGGGAGUUGGACUCAAUGGUCCUUAUGGGUUCCUUCCAACUUGAGCUGUGCUGAAAUUGCAUGAAA